GGGACUGAUUUAGUUUCGACAGCGAUGUGCUAGGCUUUAACUGCAGUCGAGUGGUGACGUUAUCACCAAAACAAAAUAACUGACAACAGUUAUAUGAGAGCACCUCGCUCUCAAACUCUCUGCUUAGCUUAAUAGCUUCCCGAUUUUAGGGUUUCGGCCUCUUUAGGUCGAACAGAGCGCCUUCCAAGGUUUUAGCUUUUCACGCUUGGGUAAGGUGUCAUAACAAAAAGAUAGUAAUCGAGAGUGGAUUUGUUACUAGAUUACGAAAUUAGGAAAAUCUCGCGCGUUCUAGUCGGUUGAUAUGCAAAGACGCGUUAAAACUUGAGUAUUAACUAAACUGUAGAAGUUAUUGAAGAGUCAUCGUUGGACCGGGAGGGCAGAUCUCCCGCAGUUCCACCA
rnacentral:tmRNA from 1 species